UACGAAGGGGGCUAGCGUUGCUCGGAAUCACUGGGCGUAAAGGGUGCGUAGGCGGGUCUUUAAGUCAGGGGUGAAAUCCUGGAGCUCAACUCCAGAACUGCCUUUGAUACUGAGGAUCUUGAGUUCGGGAGAGGUGAGUGGAACUGCGAGUGUAGAGGUGAAAUUCGUAGAUAUUCGCAAGAACACCAGUGGCGAAGGGCGGCAUCCUGGACCGGCAUUGACGCUGAGGCGCGAAAGCCAGGGGAGCAAACGGG
rnacentral:rRNA from 1 species